rnacentral:rRNA from 1 species
CCUACGGGUGGCAGCAGUGAGGAAUAUUGGUCAAUGGACGAGAGUCUGAACCAGCCAAGUAGCGUGAAGGAUGACUGCCCUAUGGGUUGUAAACUUCUUUUAUAAGGGAAUAAAACGAGGCACGUGUGGGAUGUUGCAGGUACUGUAUGAAUAAGGAUCGGCUAACUCCGUGCCAGCAGCCGCGGUAAGAAGGAGGAACCGAGCGUUAUCCGGAUUUAUUGGGUUUAAAGGGAUCGUAGAUGGGUUGUUGAGUAGGUGGUGAAAGUUUGCGGCUCAACCGUAAAAUUGCAGUUGAUACUGGCAGUCUUGAGUACAGUUGAGGUAGGCGGAAUGCGUGGUGUAGCGGUGAAAUGCUUAGAUAUCACGCAGAACCCCGAUUGCGAAGGCAGCUGAC